rnacentral:tRNA from 1 species
GGAUUGUGGCUCAGUGGCAGAGCACUCGCCUUGCACAUGCGAGACCCUGAGUUCAAUCCUCAGCACCA